GACCGCGUAGCUCAGUUGGUAGAGCAUUGGGCUAGUAUUCCAAAGGUCGUAGGUUCGAAUCCCACCGUGGUCA